GAGUUGGUAGCUCAGUGCUAGAGUGCAUGUUUUGUAUGUAUGAAGUCCAGGGUUCAAUCCCAGCCUACCUG